UCUAUUUACUAUGUUACUGUUAAUCUCUUACUGUGCCUAAUUUAUGAAUUAAGCUUUAUCGCAGGUAUGAAUGUAGAACAGUAAAUUCCACAUUAUCUAUGGUUUCAGGCAUCCACUGCGGGUCUUGGAAUGUAUCCCCCACAGAAGGGGGAUAUGAACCAAAAAGUAUCUGAGACUGUUCUCAACCAGUUAAUUUUGCCAAGGUCAAGGAUAAGGCCAGGGAGGCAAAACAAAACGUGACAAAACACGGAAUCGCUGAAACAGUCUGUGGUCUGUGCCUUUCUCCAAAGGUGACUUUGAGGGCUUCCAUAUUUAAAGGGGAAAAGCAGGCUGGAGGGGGAAGUGGGAGGGUCCGGUCCUAGUGCUGCCGCCACGGGUUGCAAGAGAAGAGAAGCAGGCAGGGGAACAGUCAAUCGUGUAUUCAUCUGGUGCUCAGUAAAUUGGCACUUCACAUAAGAUAAGUUGAGGUCUUUCUUGGCCAGUGCCUGCCUCCCUGGCGCCUGUGGUUUCAGUGAUGGGGAUUCUUCCAUGCGUCACUUGGAGCGACCUCGUCUGUUCCUGUGGACUCACUGACACACUAAAGACACCAGCUCAGCCCUGACCUCUCACCUGAGCGCCUCCUUACCAAGUCAUCCAGAUGGCUCCCCAGGGAUGAGCAGCAACAAAACGGGCACGUGGGUGCCCAGCACACGUCAGGUGAUGUUCUAAGCCCCUUGCGCGUACCCAGUCACUUACCGUUCACUGCAGCCCCGGGAUGAGCUCUGCGAUGAGCAUCCUUUUGCAGACGAGGACACUGAAGCACAGGAAAGUUAGGUCAUUUGCCUAAGGACAUGCAGCUGGAUGGGGACAGAGCCAGGAUCGGGCUUGCAGUGGCUUCAGACCCCACCUUUCUGACCACAGCGCUCGUGCUCUUGGAGCGCCUUGAGAUAGUGGGACAAGGCGGACUGGAGGACGCAGUUUCCAGAUGGGAUGCCCUGGCGGGCGACUCCCGUGCGCAUGCCCAGCAUCCUGCGCAGGCGCUCUCGUGGCCAGGCCUCUGCAAACAGUCAGCACAGACCGGGAGACAGAAAACUACACUCCCUCAGACGCUUUAUUGUUUACAAAACAGAUGGAUCCCAUAGGGAAGGAACACAAUCAUUAUGCUGACAGCAGCGAACAGAGAGGGGAAGAAAAAAGGUGAGCUUUAAAGUAAUCGCAAAUCACUGCCUAUGCGAAGAGGCUGCUUCCGGGCACCUGGGCUGUGACUCAGGUGCUGACAUGAAUACAUCAGCAAGGUCUCAAUUCAGCGUUCACUUCCUUCGCUUCCUCCACUACCUAUGACAUAGCGGGGGAAAGAGACAACC
rnacentral:lncRNA from 10 species